AUUGACACUCUGAGGCGGUAGAGGUUUUGUUUUUUUUUUUUUUGGUAUUAAUUGUAUGUAUUUGAAUAAUAAAAUAUUCAGAAGUGAAACGUUUAGGAGACUUGUUUUAUGUUUGCGGGGUUUCAGUCAAAUCAGUCUUACUCGCCGUGUGCUAACGUAACAACGUCUUAAUAGAAAAACGUCUUGUAAUUUUGUGUGCUAUCAAAAAACUAAAAAAACAACAACAAAAAUAAAGAGUGAAUUUACACUUAAGUGGUUAAAAACACAAAAAACACGUUAUUAACGUCAUCAAUAAUUAGUUUUCUUUUUUUUGUUUGAAAACUCUUUGUUCAAUUCAAUUGCUAGAUCUGCGCAUUCAUUGAUCGUUUAGCUCUCAACGUUCUUACACUCGUUUCGAAGCUGUUGUUCCGUUUCGUACGUAUAUUUGAUCCGUCGUUGUACGCGUUCGCUGGGUGGUUGUUUCAACCAAGAUUUUGCUAAGAUGCUGGUCUCCUUUCGCCAUGCGAAGCCUUGCUUCGUUGUGUUAAAAUUGCUCCACUAACGUGUGCUUGCAACAAUUACCGUGUUUUCAUCUUUUUUUGGGGAAAAAAUAA